AACGUACGCUGGCGGCACGCCUUAUACAUGCAAGUCGAACGGAGUAGCAAUACUCAGUGGCAGACGGGUGAGUAACAUGUAGGUAUCUUCCCUUUGGUGAGGAAUAACACGAGGAAACUUGUGCUAAUACCUCAUAAGUCUUUACGGAGAAAGCUUUAUGCGCCAAUGGAUGAGCCUGCACUUGAUUAGUUUGUUGGUGGGGUAAUGGCCUACCAAGACUGUGAUCAAUAGCUGAUUUGAGAGGAUGAUCAGCCACAUUGGGACUGAGACACGGCCCAAACUCCUACGGGAGGCAGCAGUGGGGAAUCUUGCACAAUGGAGGAAACUCUGAUGCAGCGAUGCCGCGUGAGUGAAGAAGGCCCUUGGGUUGUAAAGCUCUUUCGUCGGGGAAGAAAAUGAC
rnacentral:rRNA from 1 species